UCCUCCCCUUCUCUUCGUUGCCUCCCCUCGCGCCGCCGCCCUCCGAGAAGCACCCCGGCCGCUGCUGCUCCGCGUCGUGCCGAGCUUGCCUCCUCUGCUGCUCUCCCCGUCGAUCUCGCCCCUCGCCACCGGCCCUCAAGUUUUGGAGGGUCAAGGUGGACAAGGAGAUCCAUGAGCAGCCGCCGCCGCCCGUCCUCCUACUUCGCCAUCAAGGAGAGGAGCAUAGGAGCAUGUCCUCACGUUCGUGUUCCUCCGAGAAGAGGACAAAUCGAGGCAAGUGUCGGAACGAGGAGACGAGUCUGGUGGAGAUGAUGAGAGGAACGGAGACAAGGAUGGCGACUUGAUGCUCCUCGGAGACCUCCUCUGGAGAUUCUCGACCAAGGUUUGCCUGGGAAUGCGUCCUUCAAUAACAAGAAGAUGUGUCCAUCUAUCAAGAUGUUGAGGUUUGACCAGUGUGGCCACCAUUGGGGGAGUCCACUAACCGAGGCCCCACUAGAUGACAAACCACACCAUAUCCAUAUGAAUCCCAAGUUAAUUCCCCACCGGAUAAAAUGUGGCCAUGGCUGACCUAAUACUGGCUGAGUGAUAGGAUUGUUCUGCAUACUAGAAGGGUUUGGUUGGAUGUUGCAACCCCACUAUGGUUCUAACUUUGUCUACCUCUGUUUAGAAUGCAAUUGAGAAUUGGUCAAUAAACAUUCACUGGGAGUUAGGGGCUGCUACGGUUAUGUGCUUGAUUGGUUUUGUUAGUUCCAUCCAGAUUGUGCUUUGCAGGUAUUAGGCAAGAGUCAUGUUUUAUGAGAAAACUUUAUACUUUUUAUUGUGAUUGACAUAUGUUAGUGUGAUGUUGGAUCAUUAGAUUUUUGCCAGUGUAGUACAUGAUCCUCCAAGUUAAUUACUAGCAUGUGUAAAUCCAUUGUUCUUUACAAAAAGAAACUGAUGCUAUUAUGGCAUCUCUUCUGUUGCCACUCUGUAUCUUAUAUAUAUACAUUCAGAAAGCAUGACUUGGGUUUAUACGAUGCAUAUAGGUUACUACACUAUUGAAGUAUUUGUAUCUUGGCCUCUUACCAUUUGAUCUGCCUACACUAAUCUCAUGUUUGGUUUAAAGCUUCUAAUUUUUUGGCUGACCAGAGCUCAGUAAUAAGAUUCAUGGCUCGGUAUGUCAUGUUAGUAAGCACAUGCCAAAUUUAGAAAAACAUGGGUACUGAACUAGAAAUUCUCAUGAAGGAAAUCAGUUUAAAUAUGCAUGGUCAGUUGUAGUACUUGCAAUGUUUACCUACCUGUGAUUCAGAUUUCUUUUUAUGCCAUUGUUCAAACAUUACUCGAAAUCUCUGAUUUGUCAAGCAAUUUUCUUGAUUAGAUGAUAAUGUGAUAUACAUGGUGACUGCUAUUAAGUGAAUCCAUCCAUAUAUGUCCUUCUUAGUGACCAACUAAUUGAUGGUAAAUCUUUAAUCCAUAGUUUCUGAUUUAUGCAUGCACUUCUGUUGGUUAUCAUGUCUAUGUAAGCUUUGUGUUGUCCUUUGUAAUAUCUGAUUAUGCUAUGCAAAGGAAAAUCAAGGAUUACUGUUCUUGGUACGUAUGCAGUGUAUUUUUUGUUUUCAAUAGUAAUAGUUCAAGUAGAGGUCAGAUGCAGUGACAUAGAUGGUCAAAGGAUAAUUGGACAAUGAAUGCAGGCUCUUUCAUUUCAUAUCUGGGCGACGAGGGCGGCUUCGACGGGGUCUACACGACAUUUGUCCGCAUGCUCGAUGCUAAGGGCCGCCAUCGCCGUCAAGGGACUCAACCAGCACGGCCUCUAGGUCAGGACACUCCACCUUGCAUUCACCUAUGUGCAGUUUACUUUCAUCGUCAACCAUGUGGCUUAAGUUAAGCUUGGCCAGCAAAUUACAUGGCUCUUCAUCAGCGUCAUGAUAAUGUCGUCUAACAAGCUCGCAUGUGGAUGUGCUAAUGAUCGGGAUAUGAUGAAAGGCAAAGACGAUUGGCAUGUUUUGUCCGGUCUGCUGAAGUUUAGGUGGGCAAGGUCACACAAUUUGGGUUAUUGAUAUCAUUUUGGGACAUUAUUUCGAACAACCUCUAUUUCUAAAUGUUUGCAAAGGCUAAUUUGCAUGGUUUUCAUUUUUGGAGGUUGUACCAUGGCUGCUUUCAAUCUUUCCUUCUGUAUUAUUUUUGUGUGUUUGCUGGAGUGAAUUUUAGUCUUUGUUCACUUUUCAUAUUAACAUUUAAAAUACCAUGGAAACGGACCUGGCCAUAUAUUUGCAGUAUCAAGCAAAUCCUUUUGUUGUUUAUUGUAACCACAUUCCUGUGUAUUAAAUUUAUUUCAGCUA